GCAUGUGGUUUAAUUCGAAGCAACGCGAAGAACCUUACCAGGUCUUGACAUCCUUUGACCACUCUGGAGACAGAGCUUUCCCUUCGGGGACAAAGUGACAGGUGGUGCAUGGUUGUCGUCAGCUCGUGUCGUGAGAUGUUGGGUUAAGUCCCGCAACGAGCGCAACCCUUGAUUUUAGUUGCCAGCAUUUAGUUGGGCACUCUAAAGUGACUGCCGGUGCAAGCCGGAGGAAGGUGGGGAUGACGUCAAAUCAUCAUGCCCCUUAUGACCUGGGCUACACACGUGCUACAAUGGAUAGUACAAAGGGUCGCGAAGCCGCGAGGUGGAGCUAAUCCCAUAAAACUAUUCUCAGUUCGGAUUGUAGGCUGCAACUCGCCUACAUGAAGCCGGAAUCGCUAGUAAUCGUGGAUCAGCAUGCCACGGUGAAUACGUUCCCGGGCCUUGUACACACCGCCCGUCACACCACGAGAGUUUGUAACACCCGAAGUCGGUAGGGUAACCUUUAUGGAGCCAGCCGCCGAAGGUGGGACAGAUAAUUGGGGUGAAGUCGUAACAAGGUAGCCGUAUCGGAAGGUGCGGCUGGAUCACCUCCUUUCUAAGGAA
rnacentral:rRNA from 1 species